UACGUAGGGUGCGAGCGUUGUCCGGAAUUAUUGGGCGUAAAGAGCUCGUAGGCGGUUUGUCGCGUCUGCUGUGAAAACCCGAGGCUCAACCUCGGGCCUGCAGUGGGUACGGGCAGACUAGAGUGCGGUAGGGGAGACUGGAAUUCCUGGUGUAGCGGUGAAAUGCGCAGAUAUCAGGAGGAACACCGGUGGCGAAGGCGGGUCUCUGGGCCGAUACUGACGCUGAGGAGCGAAAGCGUGGGGAGCGAACAGG
rnacentral:rRNA from 1 species